GGACCCUUAGCUCAAUCGGUAGAGCUUUGUACUUAUGUGGUUACCAAAUGCAAGGGUCCCGAGUUCGAUUCUCGGAGGGUCCA